UUGGGUGAGAGAGAAGAGUGGCUAUGGAGUCAUGGUUUUUGUUGAGUUGCACAGUUCGGCCAUGGAUGACAAGUGUUGAAGGCAUCAAAAACGUAACUCCACUGUCUUGUUGCUCAGUCUUGUCCACCUCUUCUUCCCCUAAAAGACGCCCCUUUUUUGUUACUGUCUGCAAACCCAUCUCAUCACUUGGAUCCAUCACCCUUGUUUCACUCCAUUAACCCUCUCUCUCUCUCUCUCUCUCUCUCUCUCUCUGAGCUUUCCUUUUUCCCUCAACCAACCCUGCAUCUCUCUAAUCUUCCUAAUGAAAACAAAAUGACUUCCCCUUCAUCAUCUCUCUUCCUCAUCUUUUUGCUACUCUCUCAUCUGUUUACCCAUCAAAGUUAUGCCAUGAGAAAACUUCAAGGUUCUGAGAUAAAAAUAGAGAGGGAGCCAUUAAUGGAUCUUGCCGAGAAGUUAUCAGUUGAAGGUGGCGGUGAUGAUAUUCAAAGAAAAGAGUUGCAUGAAGUACAUUCAGGACCCAACCCCAUCAGCAAUUCUACCCCUCAACAAUGGUGGAAAACAAAGUUAGAAAGAAAACCAUAACUCUCAUCUCUCAAAACCUUUUCUUUCUUAAUUUCCAUCUAUAUAUACAUAUUUUAUUGAGUGGGAGAUUGGAAUUUUGAUAGUAGUUGAUCAAUAAAGGCCUUGUUUCGUUCAUCAUCA